AUCUAGUCGACGAGUCCCGGAUAAGACGAAACGCGCGUCCUGAAU
rfam:Schistosoma rodhaini strain Burundi genome assembly, scaffold: SROB_scaffold0000135